rnacentral:rRNA from 1 species
AUUGAACGCUGGCGGCAGGCUUAACACAUGCAAGUCGAGCGAGCGGCGGACGGGUGAGUAAUGUCUGGGAAACUGCCUGAUGGAGGGGGAUAACUACUGGAAACGGUAGCUAAUACCGCAUACCAUCCGAUGUUCCCAGAUGGGAUUAGCUAGUAGGUGGGGUAAUGGCUCACCUAGGCGACGAUCCCUAGCUGGUCUGAGAGGAUGACCAGCCACACGGGAACGGAGAAACGGUCCAGACCCCUAGGGGGGGCAGCAGGGGGGAAUAUUGCAAAAUGGGCGAAAGCCUGAUGCAGCCAUGCCGCGUGUGGGAAGAAGGCCUUCGGGUUGUAAAGCACUUUCAGCGAGGAGGCGUUACUCGCAGAAGAAGCACCGGCUAACUCCGUGCCAGCAGCCGCGUAAUAC